CGAACGGGUGAGUAAUAUAUCGGAACGUGCCCAGUAGUGGGGGAUAGCCCGGCGAAAGCCGGAUUAAUACCGCAUACGACCUACGGGUGAAAAGGGGGGGAUCGCAAGACCUCUCGCUAUUGGAGCGGCCGAUAUCAGAUUAGCUAGUUGGUGGGGUAAAAGCUCACCAAGGCGACGAUCUGUAGCUGGUCUGAGAGGACGACCAGCCACACUGGGACUGAGACACGGCCCAG
rnacentral:rRNA from 1 species